UACGAGGGGGGCGAGCGUUGUUCGGAAUUAUUGGGCGUAAAGGGUGCGUAGGCGGUUUGGUAAGUCUUGUGUAAAAUCUCCAGGCUCAACUUGGAGUCUGCACGAGAAACUGCCGGGCUUGAGUGUGGGAGAGGUGAGUGGAAUUCCUGGUGUAGCGGUGAAAUGCGCAGAUAUCAGGAGGAACACCGGUGGCGAAGGCGGGACUCUGGGCCGAUACUGACGCUGAGGAGCGAAAGCGUGGGGGAGCAAACAGG
rnacentral:rRNA from 1 species